GACGAACGCUGGCGGCGUGCUUAACACAUGCAAGUCGAACGAUGAACCCGGAGCUUGCUCCGGCGGAUUAGUGGCGAACGGGUGAGUAACACGUGAGUAACCUGCCCUUGACUCUGGGAUAACUGCUAGAAAUGGUAGCUAAUACCGGAUACGACCCUCGGUGGCAUCACCAGGGGGUGGAAAGAAUUUCGGUCAAGGAUGGACUCGCGGCCUAUCAGCUAGUUGGUGAGGUAACGGCUCACCAAGGCGACGACGGGUAGCCGGCCUGAGAGGGUGAACGGCCACACUGGGACAGGGACACGGCCCAGACUCCUACGGGAGGCAGCAGUGGGGAAUAUUGCACAAUGGGCGCAAGCCUGAUGCAGCAACGCCGCGUGAGGGAUGACGGCCUUCGGGUUGUAAACCUCUUCUAGUAGGGAAGAAGCGAAAGUGACGGUACCUGCAGAAAAAGCACCGGCUAACUACGUGCCAGCAGCCGCGGUAA
rnacentral:rRNA from 1 species